rnacentral:rRNA from 1 species
GGAUGAGCCCGCGGCCUAUCAGCUAGUUGGUGAGGUGAUGGCUCACCAAGGCGACGACGGGUAGCCGGCCUGAGAGGGCGACCGGCCACACUGGGACUGAGACACGGCCCAGACUCCUACGGGAGGCAGCAGUGGGGAAUAUUGCACAAUGGGCGAAAGCCUGAUGCAGCGACGCCGCGUGAGGGAUGACGGCCUUUGGGUUGUAAACCUCUUUCAGCAGGGAAGAAGCGCAAGUGACGGUACCUGCAGAAGAAGCGCCGGCUAACUACGUGCCAGCAGCCGCGGUAAUACGUAGGGUGCGAGCGUUGUCCGGAAUUAUUGGGCGUAAAGAGCUUGUAGGCGGUCUGUCGCGUCUGCUGUGAAAAUCCGGGGCUCAACCCCGGACUUGCAGUGGGUACGGGCAGACUAGAGUGUGGUAGGGGAGACUGGAAUUCCUGGUGUAGCGGUGAAAUGCGCAGAUAUCAGGAGGAACACCGAUGGCGAAGGCAGGUCUCUGGGCCAUAACUGACGCUGAGAAGCGAAAGCAUGGGGGAGCGAACAGGAUUAGAUACCCUGGUAGUCCAUGCCGUAAACGUUGGGAACUAGGUGUGGGGUCUCAUUCCACGAGAUCCGUGCCGCCAGCUAACGCAUUUAAGUUUCCCCCGCCUGGGGAGGUACGG